rnacentral:rRNA from 1 species
UACAGAGGGUGCGAGCGUUAAUCGGAAUUACUGGGCGUAAAGCGUGCGCAGGCGGUUCGUUAAGACAGAUGUGAAAUCCCCGGGCUUAACCUGGGAACUGCAUUUGUGACUGGCGAGCUAGAGUAUGGCAGAGGGGGGUAGAAUUCCACGUGUAGCAGUGAAAUGCGUAGAGAUGUGGAGGAAUACCGAUGGCGAAGGCAGCCCCCUGGGCCAAUACUGACGCUCAUGCACGAAAGCGUGGGGAGCAAACAGG